AAGUGUCAGCUCAAACUGGGGACUUUUGGAAACGUCAUAACUUGUACGCGGCAUUAUUACGACGCAUGUCCACGAUGUAGUUCUCAAAAGUUUUACUGCAUCGUCGAAUAUAUUGAGGGAACCAGAAUGUGCGUGACGAGCAUGGAAAUAUAUUAUUGUCUUCGUAACGUGCUCGUUUGGACAAAAGGCAGCACACAUUCAUAUAUGGUUGCGAUCACGCAUAUGUCAACUCCUUUCUUCAACAUCAUUAUUUACGAGUAAGAGACGGGAGAGAACUUUAUGGUAAGCAUGGGAAGUGUGGUGUUUGUUGAUAAUUUUCACAGCUGAGGAAAGUUGGCCCAACGGACGAAGAAGUUGUCAUUUGUUGUGUAGAGCCUUUGCAUUAUUAAUGAUUCUUUAGUCGCAUGAUCAGUUCGGGCAGUUGAAGAGCGGCAACUUAACGAAGAGGGCAAACUCGGCGAUCUUCGAAGUCUUUCACGAUUUAAUUUCUCCGCUUCUUUAACUUGGAGAAUAUGUGAAAGAUGGAAUGCUUACAUUGAGGAGAAAAAAAUUGUCAAUCAUGAAUGGCUUCAGGUGGAUUUUUUGUACGAUAGACGCAAUGAAAACAAUCUAAAACUGAUAGCAUGACACAUCUUGAUAUGAAUUAGUAAGUACAAAGAUGUAAAAAUGAAGUAUUAAUAUUUAUUUUUAGGUUU